rnacentral:rRNA from 1 species
CCCUUAGAUGUCCUGGGCCGCGCGCGCGCUACACUGACAUGUUCAACAAGCCUCCUAGUUCGACAGGAUUUGGGAAAUCUUUGAACGCAUGUCGUGAUAGGGAUAGAUCAUUGCAAUUAUUGAUCUUGAACGAGGAAUUCCUAGUAAACGCGAGUCAUCAGCUCGCAUUGAUUACGUCCCUGCCCUUUGUACACACCGCCCGUCGCACCUACCGAUUGAAUGUUUCGGUGAAGAUUCCGGAUAGGACUUUUUUGAUUUAUUUCAAUUCUGUCUUAAAAGCUAUCUAAACCUCAACAUUUAGAGGAAGGUGAAGUCGUAACA